GUCUCACCAUGCUGGGUGGGUGAGAUGUUGGGGCUAGUGGCAGGGGCCGCUGAUGGACACUCCAUGCUUCCACAGGAUCAGGUCCAGAGGAGGGUUGCUGCAAAGAGCAUCCUGGAGCCACUGAAAAGUCCCAGAAACCAUGACUUAACCAGUAGUAAUGAGCCCUCCGUCUCCUGGAUUGUGGUCCUGAAUAUUACUGAAAAGAAGCCAGGCUCUUUGGAGAAAUGGAUGAUACCAGAUGUGGGGCAGAAAAUGUACAAGAAAAGAUGAAUCUAGGCAAUAUUAUCAGUGACUGCUAAUAGCACAAGAGGGACAACCAGACAUUGUGUGCUCUGGAUGGAAGUAUACAGCACCACCGAUGAAGUGUUCUUGCAAAGAGUUCCAGCCUGAAUCUGAUCAAGCUUCUAGAUCUAAAUACCAGUUGUUGGGGACAAGAUGAUAUUGGGGGAAGUGUGAAGUGCUUUGAAGGCUGCCAACAAAAUGCCAAGUCAGCCCAUUGACAGAAAAAGGAAGAGAAACCUUUGGAAAAUACAUUAUUGUUUCGCAUUAGCUUACUUUCUGUCUGAAUCUGAGCACCUGACCUGAGGAAGGAGAGUGAACAUAGAAUGGCGAAUUUGUUCUAGGACAGUGAGUGAUCUGAGAGUGUUGGGAAGAGGGAGCCAUGCCGUGUAGACCAGAAAGCAGGGCAAUGGAGGAAUGGAUCCAAAUUUCUUGGCUUCUUGUUGCUGAUACAAUAGAGAAUAAAGGAGAAGUGUAUGUAUGUAAGUCACAUUUUUUAAAC